rnacentral:rRNA from 1 species
UGCUGGACGCGCCCCAGGCGCACCCAGAAACCCUUUGUGAACUUAUACCUUUUGUUGCCUCGGCGCAUGCUGGUCUCUAGUAGGCCCCUCACCCCGGUGAGGAGACGGCACGCCGGCGGCCAAGUUAACUCUGUUUUUACACUGAAACUCUGAGAAAAAACACAAAUGAAUCAAAACUUUCAACAACGGAUCUCUUGGUUCUGGCAUCGAUGAAGAACGCAGCGAAAUGCGAUAAGUAAUGUGAAUUGCAGAAUUCAGUGAAUCAUCGAAUCUUUGAACGCACAUUGCGCCCUCUGGUAUUCCGGAGGGCAUGCCUGUUCGAGCGUCAUUUCAACCCUCAAGCAUUGCUUGGUGUUGGGGCACUGCUUUUAACGAAGCAGGCCCUGAAAUCUAGUGGCGAGCUCGCCAGGACCCCGAGCGUAGUAGUUAAACCCUCGCUUUGGAAGGCCCUGGCGGUGCCCUGCCGUUAAACCCCCAACUUUUGAAAAUUUGACCUCGGAUCAGGUAGGAAUACCCGCUGAACUUAAGCAUAUCAAUAAGCGGAGGAAAAGAAACCAACAGGGAUUGCCCUAGUAACGGCGAGUGAAGCGGCAACAGCUCAAAUUUGAAAUCUGGCCUCGGCCCGAGUUGUAAUUUGCAGAGGAUGCUUCUGGCGCGGUGCCUUCCGAGUUCCCUGGAACGGGACGCCACAGAGGGUGAGAGCCCCGUAUGGUCGGACACCAAGCCUGUGUGAAGCUCCUUCGACGAGUCGAGUAGUUUGGGAAUGCUGCUCUAAAUGGGAGGUAAAUCUCUUCUAAAGCUAAAUACCGGCCAGAGACCGAUAGCGCACAAGUAGAGUGAUCGAAAGAUGAAAAGCACCUUGAAAAGGGGGUUAAAUAGUACGUGAAAUUGUUGAAAGGGAAGCACUUGUGACCAGACUUGGGCCGGGCGGCUCAUCAGGGGUUCUCCCCUGUGCACUCCGCCCGGCACAGGCCAGCAUCGGUUCUCGUGGGGGGAUAAGACCGUCAGGAACGUAGCACCCUCCGGGGUGUGUUAUAGCCUGGCGGACGAUACCCCCGUGGGGACCGAGGUCGCG